rnacentral:tRNA from 1 species
GGAGAGUAUAGCUUAGUGGUAGAGCAUGUGCUUAUCAUGCACAAGGUCCUGGGUUCAAUCCCCAGUACCUCCA